UACGUAGGGGGCUAGCGUUGUCCGGAAUCAUUGGGCGUAAAGCGCGUGUAGGCGGCCCGGUAAGUCCGCUGUGAAAGUCGGGGGCUCAACCCUCGGAUGCCGGUGGAUACUGUCGGGCUCGAGUCCGGAAGAGGUGAGUGGAAUUCCUGGUGUAGCGGUGAAAUGCGCAGAUAUCAGGAGGAACACCAAUGGCGAAGGCAGCUCACUGGGACGGUACUGACGCUGAGACGCGAAAGCGUGGGGAGCAAACAGG
rnacentral:rRNA from 1 species